CUCUCUCUCUCUCUCUCUCUCUCUCUCUCUCCACUGUUUUUUAUUACUACAGAGAUGUGAGGAAGACAAGGUUGAAUUGACAGGAUGUGUAAGCAGAUCUAACAGUACCAAGGAGAACUCAUUUCCUUCCAUAUUUCUGAGAAAACACUGCCUUGUGCUGAUGGUGAACAGCUUCAGCAAGCUGUGGCUUUGUGUGGGAGAUCCAUACCCCUGAUAAACUCCAUCGAUAACCUCUAAUUCUUUACAACCAGUCACUGUCAUUCCUUUGAUGUUGUGAACCUCCCAGUAGAAGACAAACCUUACUCGUGUCAGGCGCUGCACCUCAGGUUCACAGUAAGGAGAGCUGCAUGGCUGUCUGCAUGGUGGGGAGCCAGAGGAUGUGGGAGCUGUUCAAGCCAUGAUGCUGGAAGCCACAGAACAAGAGGGAUUGAGAAUACAGUGCCAUUCUGAGACCGAAGGACUGGAAGCUUCCUGGAGUUUCUAUGUCAGUUCACAUAGAAAAGCAAAAGAAGCUGAGCUCUGCUGUCCAUAGGCCAUGGUACUAGCAAAAGAUGCACCCGCUCAAGCAGAAUGAAGCUUUUGAACUGCAGGUUAACUUUCUCUUUCUUUCAGAUGUAUUGCAUCCAUCUGCAAGUCCAUUGGAUGGUGCAACCCAUCAACAGGGUGGGUCUUCCUCCCUCAGUUUGCUGGCCUACAUGUCUAUGAUCUCUGGAAGCAUUCCACAGACAUACUCAGAACUGGACUUUUCUAAGCUGUUAAGCAUCUCUUAAUUUAAUCAUUGACAAUCACAAUAAUUGUCACAAGAACCAAAGUUAAUUAUGUACUUUAUCUUAGGGAGUAGAAUUAUGUUUUCUUAUUGAUCCAUCAUGCCUUUUUUGUGCUUUUCAAGUUUUCUACAAGGAGUAUAAAUUGCCUA